GCUUGCCGUGGAUAUAAAGGACGCAAGCAUGGCUGUGAGGAGGAAGUGCUGGCAUUGGAAAUAAUUAAUUAAUUGAGUCUUGUGUGGAUCUUGGGAAUCAAGUGAAGUCCUGAAGCCUUGGAAUCAAUUAGUUAAUCUAAAGUCUCGGAGUUAAAAGGGCCGAAUGAAUGGCCGAAUGAGGCAUGGCCGGAUGGAUCCUAGGUGGUCGAAGGACUAUGGGUGCUUGCGCGAUGAGAAGGCUUGCGGCUAGGCCAUGACCGAAUGAGUGCAUUUGGCUGAUUGGGUGUGCGAAGUAGUGUGUGCAGGUGGCCGAUUGGGGGUGUGAAUAAGUCACGGCCCAAAGAGUUUAAGUCCUAUUUGCCUUGUGUUUGUGUGUGUGCAAGCCAAGACAUGACCGAAUGAUUGCAUGAUCGAAUGACUCCCGGGAGCCUCUCUCGACUCAUCGCCAAGAGACGUUCUCAGGAGGCCUCAAACUCCAAAAGACUCAAUCUAAAAUGCUCUCAAGAUGCCCCAAACAUAACACCAAGAUUCCCACCUAAAAACGUGGGCAGGGCGUCACUUGUUAGCCUCCUCCUCAUUCAGCUCAUUCAUCACUUUGGGGGUCAUUGGUUAUCUUGAGAUUCAUUCAUUACUAUGAGAGUCAUUCAGUUCGUGGGACUCACUCCUAGAACAUUUCUAGACUCCCACAUGCCAUCUUAAGAGAGUCAGAACUCACAUUCCAUCUUGAGAGUCACAACCCUCGUGCCAUCCUAAGAGACACAACUCCUCUUGAGACUCCCUUGCCAUCAAGACACGCUCCCAUCACCAAGUCACGUGAUAGAGGGUUACAUGCAUACUUUAGCAAGAUGGUCUCUCACAAAAAAAAAAAAAAAAAUUAUUAUUGUAUUCAGGCAACAACAAUAAUGAAUUAUGGUAUUUUUCAAAUAAAUAAAGAAAGAUAUUCUAGUGUUCA